rnacentral:rRNA from 1 species
GCGGUACCGGGCCAGCUCGGUACCACGCCUAUCUGAGGGUCGAAUAAGAA